UGUAACAAAGAAUAAAGUUAUUUGUCCUCCGGUGGGGUAGGAUAGGAGGUCUGUUAAAAUUAAAUCUAAGGGGGAAAAAAAUUGAGAAAAAUUAGAAGCAUACAGGAUAAUAGUGUGCAUUGUCCAACACUCUUUAACACAAUCAAAUAUAUUUUAAAAUCAAAUGGAGUCUAAUGUAACAUACGUAGUCUAGUCUUGGAAGUGAAGAAUGAGAAGAAUACAAUACAAUCAAAUCCAGUACUAGAAUUUAAUAGUUAAAUGAAAUUAAAUCUGAUCUAAUGUAAUGUAACGACUCAAAAGAUUUGGUCUAGGCAGCAAUCCUGACUGACUGCUACUUUUGCACUGUGGAGAUCGUCCUGGCAGGAAGAAUCACAGUAUGAUAUGGCAACUUGACUCAUAAGUGGCUAGAAACAUCAAAUGAAGGGACCUGCACUCACUCAACGCUGCCUCAGGAAACCUAAACCAUCCAGGUCACUACCUACUCUCUUUCCUGCGAUCUGGUAAAUGCUAUUGGAGCAUCACCAUGUUACGGACAGAACAACCGGAGACAACGAUGAGGAGACUGAGAGAGUUUAUUAUAAAAAAGAGGUAAUAUGGAAUGGAAAUGAUACUGUCCCUUAAUUCGCUGAUGGUCGAAGGGUUUGGGAACUGGAGCGACACACUCAGGAGACCGGAGAUUACUGGAGUCGGGAUUCGAUGAUCGGGGUUCAAAGUGGCGGUAGCCUUGACGUAACGUCGUGGGUGAGUCCGUGAAGUGUUCGAAGGUAGGUAGCGUAGCUCUGUCCUUCAUAUGAACGAGACCGGACCCAGACUGAGGUGAGGAGUGGGAAUUUAUGGAGGAGUAGAGUGGCUGAUUAAGUUCAGGUGUGUGAUGGGUGACAGGUGCUGGGAAUCAAUAUGCAGGUGAGGGAGUGCAGAGUGAAGGGGAGUGGUUGGAGAGAACAUGACAGACUGUGACACACCACAUAUACCACUCGGUGUGGAGACAGUUUGUUCCCACAGGCAGUUAGACGGUUACACACACGCUCAUUCACACACAUGUUCUACGAAGACUGAUGCAACAUAAUUUCAUUGUGUUUAUUUUUUGUACUUAGUAUGCACCAUUCAUAUUGUAUAAUAUGAAUACUGUUGGGUGUCUAUUCCAUAUGUUAGUGACAUUUUUCUAUAUAUUGUAUGUUUUUUUAAUUUUGGUUUUGUAGUUUCCUGCAUUGAGACCACAAAUAUUGGUGUGGUUGAGAGAUAUUGUAGUCUAUAUGUUACCUAACCAAAUAUAUUUUCGCAUAAGGUGAUGACAAGUUACACAGUAAUCAUAUCUAUGGCAACACUGAUCAAACAUUCAUAUAAGUUGGGGAAUAAAAAGAAUGACAUAUACACAAAAUAUUUUCUACCCCUUCCAAAACCCCAUCUCCCUUCAAACACAAAAUUGCUUAUCUGUCUGUCAAUUGGAUGUAGCUACACAUUUGUUAAAAUGAUACAUAUUGUGAAGUAGAUCUCAGUUUUUGAGUACAAUUACAUAUAAAUGAAAAAAAGAACAAAACGAGAAAUCUGAAACACAGGGAAGGUAAUUUAAACAUUGUGCUACCUAAAAAAAAAAAGUAAAACCACUACUGUUCCCUCAAAUUGCUUAUUUUAAUAUAGCACAAUUAUGUAAAAUCACCACAUUUUUUUGUAAAAAAAAGAGUAUCAAACGUAAUAAAACAAUAGCCUGACAUGAGUAACAUAUAAACAUAUAUAUAUAUGGAAAUAUGUUAUUUAUUGUUGAAUUCACAGAUAAUCAUGUAAAUAAAUAAAAGUGUUAUUUUCAAAUUACAUUAUUUCCUUUUUAAACAAAACCCCAGUAUCUUGUGCCAAUAGGGCCUAUGCCUAAAUUUGUUAUUGUUGAAGCAGACUUAAGCAGAAAUAGCAUCAUAACCUGCUGUGCAGGGAUGCUUUAAUUGCUGCUAGUCACAGGCAGAGAAGCUAGCUAGAUAACUUUAAACUUGUCAUGCUUUGGAAAUGGUUGACAGCUUUGGUAGCAACUAUUGCUUAUUUUGUCGCUAACAUCAAAUAGCAUCACUUCUACGAAUGAAAAAAACGGAAGUGGAGAAUUCAAACUACAGAGAAAAAGACAAGAGUUUAGGCUAUUGUUGUACAGCUGAAGUUCAAGUAACGUUAACGUUACUAAUCUACCCUAACGUUAGUUAGCUGGCUAACAUUUUAUAGAGGUGACUGCUGAGGUCAGAACACUCUUAAGAUCCAUUUAAAACACAGCCCACAUAAAGGCUGGGGUUAAAAACUGGGUUCAUUCGGGAUUUCAACCCAGGACCUCUCACACCCACAGCGAGAAUCAUACCCCUAGACCAACGAGUCAGUUGACAUCAUCACUCACAGCUGUACCAUCAGACUGCAGACCUGAAGUUAAACUCUACACUUGUGAUGUGGCAGCUUGAAGACCUAUAUGUUACUUGACAUCAGAUUUCUCAAGGUGAUAAGAGCCUGGACCAUUCCUGAUGUUGUGGAGGAUGAAUCUGCAGGAGCCGGCUGCUGCGGCGAUGUUGGCAGGGAAGGACAGCUGGUUAUCUUUUUUUCAUCUGCAUGUCUUCCAACUGGUCAUCACUCUUCUAUGCUUUGGCAAGAAGUGACGGCAGAGACAUGAAUGCAAACAAAGUCUAAGGAGCUGAUUGUGGAUCUACGGAGGGCCAAGGCACCAGCGACCCCGGUUUCCAUCCAGGGGGUCAGUGUGGAGGACUACAAGUACC